rnacentral:rRNA from 1 species
UCAGGACGAACGCUGGCGGCGUGCUUAAUACAUGCAAGUCGAGCGAGGUUACUGCGACAGAUCCCUUCGGGGUGAAGUUGCUUUAGCCUAGCGGCGGACGGGUGAGUAACGCGUGGGUAACCUACCCUAAAGUUCGGGAUAACAGAGGGAAACCGCUGUUAAUACCGGAUGCCUUUACCGUGUGGCAUCACAAGGUAAAGAAAGGUGACGCUUUAGGAUGGGCCCGCGUCCCAUUAGCUAGUUGGUGAGGUAACAGCUCACCAAGGCGACGAUGGGUAGCCGGCCUGAGAGGGUGGACGGCCACACUGGGACUGAGACACGGCCCAGACUCCUACGGGAGGCAGCAGUAGGGAAUAUUGCGCAAUGGACGGAAGUCUGACGCAGCGACGCCGCGUGAGCGAUGAAGGCCUUCGGGUCGUAAAGCUCUGUCCUUGGGGAAGAAGGUCUUCGGACUUGACGGUACCCAAGAAGAAAGCCCCGGCUAACUACGUGCCAGCAGCCGCGGUAAUACGUAGGGGGCGAGCGUUGUCCGGAAUUACUGGGCGUAAAGGGUGCGUAGGCGGCCCUUUAAGUCAGAUGUGAAAGCCCGCAGCUUAACUGCGGAAUUGCAUUUGAA